rnacentral:lncRNA from 1 species
GAUUAAAAAAAUUGGGUUCAAUUUUUCUCAUUUGAAAUUUCAUAAAUAAAAAAGAAAUUUCUUCAAACAUUUUUUUGAGAGGAUUAAUAUUCAACAGAUAGUGAAUUGCUCUAAGAGAAAACAAAAAUUUAAGUUCAUUAGAACAUUCAUUCUGUGUCAGAAACCUAUGCUGUGUCAACUAUUUAAUCACAAUCCAAAUUUAGAGCUGAAUCCAGCUUGAAUGUUGUGUCCAUACUUGCCCCAACCGUUCAGGGUUCAACCUCUGCGGUCGUAUAAAGCUAUGCCCUGCGGAGCAUCUGGUUUGUAUUUCUUAUGUACAUUUUUUUUUCAAUAGGCAAAUGUUGAGGAAGAUGAUAUACUCUCCUGUGUAACAAGGCCAUAUUUUUCCGCAAAAAUUAGGCCAUUUUUUUUCCUUCAAUACCACACACGCAACAUGCACAAUAAAAAUCUAAUUGUCUGUGCCAAAUAUAAAUAUUUUUUAUGGACCGCAUAGUUUGGAUGUCACCCACACAUAUUUUUUGGUGGGGAGACGGUAUACAAGGGAGAGGGUACUUGAAGUUGUUAUAAACUGUAUGCAAUAAAAUAUUAUUUGGGACAAAAAUUGCAAAGAAUUGGCCAGUCCACCUUAUUAAGGACAUAUUCUUUGCAAGGAAAUAGAUUUAAGUACAGCAAAUUCUUCAGGUGGGGCAAACGGUUGGCACCAACCAUUUCAUGUUUCAAGUGUUUGGUAGAGAUAAGUUAUAAAUUGUAUGCAAUAAAAUAUUAUUCAUUACAAAAAUUGCAAAGAAUUGGCCAGUCCUCCUUAAAAGGACAUAUUCUUUGCAGGGAAAGAGAAACAAAUAGCCAAACAUCAGUAAAGAUUAAUAUUAUAUAUCUCAACAUUGUGUGCUACAUGUAUAUGCACAAAUUGUGUCUGCAUCCAUAUAAACAGAGAUAAUUUCGUGAUCUUGACAUCCGCUAGUUUACAGACAUAUGUAACAUUUAUUUCCUUGAUUACUUUCAUGAUUUAUUUCAAAAUCACACUGGCUUUCUAAUAAAGUCAAUACUUUACCUUUAAAUGCAUUUAUCAGGUCUUCCAAAUCGUUUUUCUUUAGAAAAAACACCACUUUAUCCAUCUUUUUGUUUAGUUCAUGGACGAGCACAUGCACCGAAUCAGGGAGAUAACUCCGACUUCUGAGAAAUAACUCUUCCCUGCUUCCGGCUCGUCGCGUUUCACAAGAACACAAACGGACGCUUAAAUUUAGUGGUCUGCCAACUUUAUUUGCAUUCGGACGACCUUUUCGGGAGAAUCUUCCUUCAUAACAGGGGGAACAAUAUGUUUAAUCUAUCAUUCAGACCCCCCCCCCACCACCAACAGAAAUGAAUUUAAAUCGGGACCACCACCCUCCAGAAUAUAAUUAUGUUGAUAACCCCCACCUAUGGAAAAAAAUAUCGUCGGCGUUCCGCCCCUCCUAG